UACGUAGGGUGCGAGCGUUAAUCGGAAUUACUGGGCGUAAAGCGUGCGCAGGCGGUCUGUUAAGACCGAUGUGAAAUCCCGUCGGUCUAACCUGGGAACUGCAUUGGUGACUGGCAGGCUUUGAGUGUGGCAGAGGGAGGUAGAAUUCCACGUGUAGCAGUGAAAUGCGUAGAGAUCGGGAAGAAUACCUGUGGCGAAGGCGGCCAGCUGGGCCAGAUCCGACACUGAGGCGCGAAAGCGUGGGGAGCAACAGG
rnacentral:rRNA from 1 species